GGCGCCGCCCGCCAAUGGGAAGGCCGGAGGGCUGCGCGGCGGCGCGCGGACAGCGCUGUAGGCUUGGUUGCACCGCGCGUCCCCCGGGAGGGUCUGGAGGGCGAGGGCGACCGGAGGCUGCGGUGGAGCUCUGCGGAGGGCCGGCUCUGGAGCGACCCUCUUCCAGGCUAGGCCUUUCCAAUCAUCCCGCCUCCUCGCUGUGCUGGGGCGCAGUAAGGUGUUUAUCAUCGCUCCCCUAACUUUGCACCUUAUAUCUGGUCCCUUCAGUUAGGGACAGGCUGGUGGUCCCUUCUAGGGUACAUGGUCUGAGUCACAAAUCCUAUGCAUGCGUUCAUAGCUACAAAUGCAUAGAAGAGGGUGUGUUCUGCCACAUUGCCCCUUUCUCUGUUUUAAAUACACGUCUCAUAAGAACUUGGGCUUUACGUUCAGAAACUAGGUGCACAGAAACAUGGGAGAGUCCCCUGCUCCCUGAAAGCAGUUUUUAAACAAGAAUGGGUUAUUGCUGGCAGGUAUUAAUGAUACACACUGCAGAACAGAAGAGGAAUGCUAUUUUUGCCACAUACUAGCACCGAGCUAUGUGGAAUAUGAGAGCAGAUGUUGGGGUUACCAAGAAAUGGAGAGUAGCGGUAUUAAAAGAAAUAAUUACUAUUUUUCCUGCAAACGGUAUGUCUACUGUGGCAGUGAUGGAUUGCCCUUCCCCAGCAGCCAGAAAUUCUCAAGGCCUAAACAGGGAACCUGUAACAUCAGUGUCACUCGGGAACCAGACAGAAAUACAAGUUCCUGGACACUAUUAAAUCAAAAGUUACGGACCCAGAGAUCUACAUUUCACAAGCCCUUUGGAUAAUUCUGAUGUGUGCUGAUGACGUCUGAGAGCCACUGGCCUGGACUGCCAGUGUGAGAAAGGCUGAUCCUGUGUGAGUCACAGAGCUUCUUCUGAAAGAUUUUUACAGUUUACCAAUCUCGUUCACACUCCCCAGGCCGUGGUAGCCUCGCUUCAGUCCCACUAGUCUGUGGGAUUCAUUGUCUUUAUUUGGAAAGCUGGAUGUUCCUCAGUAAUGAGAGAAGACUCAUGAUCAUCACAUGACCAGAGAAGGUCAGUGAAGCAUAAACCUCGUUGAACUGCUCUAUGAAAGCUGGCAUGGUAAAACGACCUUCUCUUCUCUAUAGAGAAUCCACACACACUUCUGGACAACCAGUUUCCCAAAGGUUAAAAUUCUAGACCUCGGAAUAAAAGAAAAAAGGGGCUAAGGAGACAGCUCAUGUGCUUGUCACACAAACCUGAGGGCACCCACGGAAAAAGCCUGAUGUGAUGAUGGCACAUGCUGAAGAGGCAGAGACAGGAGGAUCCCCGCAGCUUGCUAGCCAGACAGCCUCGCCAGAUCAGUGAGCUCCAGGUUCAGUAAGAGACCCUGUUUCAAAAAGCAAGGUGAAGAGUCCAGUCAACAGUCCCUGUGAAAAUGCCUGUGCUGGUCCCAUGGCUUACGUCAGAAAACUGAAUGAAGCAAGGUGAAUGAGCAAGACGGCUCAGUGGGUAAGGACUCUUGCUGCCAAGCCUGAUGACCCGAGUUCAGUUCCCAGAAUUCACAUGGUGGGAGGAGAGAACCAAUUCCUGUAAAUUGCCCUCUGACCAUUACACAUGUGCCAUGCAUGCAUGCUUGAGUGAACACACACACACACACACACACACACACACACACACACACACACACACACACACACACACACACACCCGUGUGCAGAAAGAUCAAACACCAGUUUUGUUUGGAAAUAACCAGUUGGUGACUUCACAUCAGAAAGCGGAUGUUGAAAACAGCUCCGUAUACUCUGAGUGGUCCUUUCAGGUGUACUAGCAAGAGCUGUUAUCUCACUUAAAUGUAACCACAGUGCUGGACAUUUUGCUGGAAAUGCUGUGAACAUUUUCUUAUUUAAUCCUCCCAGCAGCCCUGAGAGGUAAGAGUUCUCCCUGCUCUCUAGGAGGAAGCAGCUUGUGGGGCUACAGCACCUACCCACCUUUUCCAAAGCCUAGGCCUCAACCAGUCGUGACUGAGUCUGAGACACUUUCAUGGCAAAAGAUUUGACAAUGACUAUUGUUCAACAGUUCAAUAUGUAUUUCUAUGUUUAUUUUGAUUUUGUAAUUUAAUUUUAUUUUCUGUGCAUGUAUGUGAGGGUGUCAGAUCCCCUGGAAAUGGAGUUACAGACAGUUGUGAGGUACCAUGUGGGUGCUGGGAAUUGAACCUGGAUCCUCUGGAAGAGCAGCCAGUGCUCUUAACCACUGAAUCGUCUCUCCAGCCCCCAUAUAUCUGUAUUUAUUAAAGUAUGUAUUUGAAAUACUUACCACUUCAAAGGAUUUCCAUGUUGCUUAUGGAGGAUAAAACAAUAAAAGAUACUUAAAGUCCAGUUGUGGGAAAUGGAGUGCACAUCCAAUGUGCACUAACACAGGAUUACAGAUGCAAUGUCUGUCAGCCUGCUGAAUGGGAGUGAUGUACCAAUGUCUAGAAAAGGGACAGAUUGCUAUGUCUGAUCAAGGACACAGUCAUCCAUCACAAGGGCUAAAAGAUAAGACGUUGCCUAGGACAAUCCUAAUUCCAUUAGGUAGAAACUGCCUACGGUGUCUUGAAAAUAAAAUCACUUAUUGUUUGGGUCUCGUGCAUACUAUCAAGUUUUUGUAGCCUCUUGGUGGUAGAAAUCUUUCUUCUUUGUUUUAAUUCUCUGAGAUUAUAAGACAGUAUUUCUCAAAGCAUGGCCUGUGAACUAGUAGCAUAAACACUUUAGAAUGUAGUUAUAGAUGUAGAUUCCCAGGCUUCAUCCUUUUAUUCUACAGAGUUGGAAUUUCUGGAGAUGGAAUCUGAAAAUCUGCUUUUUAGAGAAGUGACCCAGAUGAUUUUCAUCAUCCUGAAGUUUGAGAAGCAUGAGGAACCUGGGCCCCUUCUCCAUCGAAACACCUCCUCACAGGACUGAGAUUAUGAGAAUGGGGGCAGGCAGGGAGAUGAAACAAAACAUUGAAGAAUCGAUCGAUUCACAUGAGUAUGCUGUUUGUGUGGAGCACUGUGUUCCUCAACUAUGGGUACACAAACAGUUUAACUAUGUUUCAGAAGUCAGGUUUCAGAAUCUUCUAGGCCGGGCGGUGGUGGCGCACACCUUUAAUCCCAGCACUCGGGAUGCAGAGCCAGGCAGAUCUCUGUGAGUUCGAGGCCAGCCUGGGCUACAGAGUGAGUUUCAGGAAAGGUGCAAAGCUACACAGAGAAACCUUGUCUUUAAAAACAAAAACAAACAAAUAAACAAAACCCAGAAUCUUCUAGACAACCUUCACCAUGAUAGUAUUGACUUUUGCUAAGAAACGUGGCACAGUGAGGCACACAUUCGAGGAAGCUGAGACAGGAGAAUUGUGAAUUUGAGGCUAGUUUAUGUAACAUAGUGAAAGUCUAUUAAAAAAAAAGAAAAAUAAUUUUAAAAAGGAAGGAAGUUAGGAAGGAAGGAGAAGGGGUAUUACUAGGUUUUUAUUUAUCUAUCUUUCUCCAUACAGGAGUGACUCAGAGAGUAUGACCCUUUGUAGAUAAAUAAAAUGAAGACAGUGUAUUGGUUACUUUUCUGUUGCUGUGAUAAAACACCACAACCAAGAGAAACUUAAAGAAAAAAUGGUUUAUUUUAGCUUGUGAUUCCAGAGGGAUAGAGUCCAUAAUGGUGGGAGGAAUGGCGACAGGCAGAAGGAGCAGGAAGCUUUCGAUCACAUCUCCAUCCACGCGGGAAGCAGAGAGAGAUCAAGCCGGAAGUGGGAUUCAUCAGAGUUAUAAACCCUCAAAGCCUGCCCCCAGUGAUGUGAUUCUUCCAGUAAAAGCCCCGCUCCUGAAGAUUCCAUAACUUCCCCCAAACAGCACCACCAACUGUGAACCAAGUGUUGAAAACCAUGAGCCUACGGGAGGCAUUUCUCAUUCAACCAACACAGAUGGCGUUUACCGAACUGUCGGGUAAUGUGGUAAAGGAAGGACAUAACCGUUCAUGUUUAUUACUUUUUAAAUUCAUGUGAAUGUGUGCCUGUGUGUUUAUGUACACCAGUCACAUGCAGAUGCCCUCAGAGAAGGGUGACAGAUGCCCUGGAGCUGGAGUUACAGCCAGGUGUGAGCCACCUGAUAGGGAUGCUGGGAACCACCUAGAGUCCUCUGAAAGAGAAGUAUGAGCUCUUACCCACAGAGUGGUCUCUCCAGCACCAGUCUGUAACCAUGGGGGAAAACAAUACCAGUUUACUGACACUGCUGAUGGAAAAUGAAUCACGGCCAAGCUAUGUCCAGGGCUUCUUCUGAAAAUUUUUGGGUCAGUUAUUCUACACAAAACAAAAUAAAAGAACAACAACAAUCACAACAAAACCCCUUUUGGAAAACCUUGUUCUUCCACUUGGCGUAAAAUAAAAAUGAUCUUUGUUGGGGGUUGUACCAAAUUCUCUUUAAUUGAUUGCCCUCUUUCCCCAGGCUCUGCAUCCUCACAGCCAGGGAAGCCACUGAUGAAAUAUUCAGCAUUGGGAUGAUACUUGAUGUAUAAUUAAGUAGGAUGCAUUUAGCAGUUCAAUUUUAUAGAUCUUUAAUCCUCUAGCUAAUAAAUAUUCAUGUAGACAAUUUCAUAAGCAAAAACAAAAUAUUCUUAGAAAUACUAUCCUCUUUGGGGAAAAAAAAAAACAUAAUCCUGAAUGAGCACAGCUAUGAUAGACAGGAAGACAUGACACAGGACAGAGAGCGAGUAACUGCUUUGCUCAUUAUAACAUUUAACCUUCACAAUGUGAUGGAGUAAGGACCAUUGAAGAAAAGAAUUAAAAAUGGCAAACAAGUGUCUUAGAGGAUUUACCAAUAAGUUCUCUUAGAAAAUAGUCACACAGCAGUAGAUUUGCCUGAAGAUGCAUUGCCUCCGACAUACUAAUCAAACUUCUUAGACACCAUGGAAGGUAAGGGCGGCAGAGUAGUACUUCUAAGAUAAUCAGGAUGUAGAUUCACUGAUCAUAUGCUUCUUUAGAGCUCACUCAUUCAGGGCUGCUUGCUCUUGAGGGGCCCCUCAUCUCAUCAGAGGAAGAAGCAAAGAGAAAAUAACCUUGGCUGCCAGCUGCUCAGAGAACAAACCUGGCUUGUUUAAUAGAAAGCUGCGUCAAUGUUUCACAGCCCAGAGAGUGUAAUGUGUGGAUAACCCAGACUGCAGUUUCUUUCUGUUUCUGUAAAACCCACCCCAAUUGUUCAGAAAAGGUAAUUUGGGGUGGGAACCUAAAAAGCCACCUACUGAUGAGAGCAUCUGUAUGAUCAUAGUGUUAUAGCUCAACUUAUAUUAGAUUUCCAUUCGUGGCCAGAA